rnacentral:piRNA from 1 species
UGAUAGUUCAAAGACCCCAUAUGAGAUG